UUUCCUGGGAUGUUCGUCAGCUCACUCAUUUUGAUCCUACAUUAUUCGAACGGGACUCCUAUAUUUUCACUAUGAUGUCAGGCCUCCGUUUGCAGUGGAAGGCAGAUUAGUGUUUGCGGUAACCCACCUAGCACAGCUAGGAGUCGAAACUGUGGGCAACGGCAUUUUGGGAAU
rnacentral:other from 1 species